AUGCUAUGCAACAGACCUUCAAGUACAGUUGGAUACCAUAAAUAAGUUUCUGACCAGCUGUUAGAAAGAUGGGGUGUGUUUUCUGCAUUUCCACCUUGCCUCAAAAACUGAAACUAAACAAAGACUUCCCAUCUCCUGCAUGACAUCUUUAACACCCUUGUCAUUCCACGUGUGUGAAGCAAAGCAUAACUGGUGACUGAGUGUAAGCACAGCGCUUUCUCAGGGAAGACUGUGUGUGCAUGUUAUUGAUUGUCUUACUGUUUCAUAUACAUCUGUACAGCCCACAAAACUAAAAUAUACUAAUAUCUUUGAAGUGCCCAAGGUACCCAAGAAGGCUGUUCUGGAAGAACCCAUACCUGUAGCUGUGCCAAAAAAGCCAGAACCUGCACCAGCUCGAGUGCCCGAAGUACCCAGGAAGGCUGUUCGUGAGGAAAAAAUACCCGUGGCCGUUGCCAAAGCACCAGAGCCUCCAGCACCCAGAGUGCAUGAGAUGCCAGAGGCAGAGGUCUCGGAAGAGGAAGAGGUGGAAGAAGUACCAGAGGAAGCGGUAGCAGUUGCCGAGCCUGGAGAGCCAGAAGCUCCUCCAGCUGAAGCACCUGAGGUGGUUGAGGACGAAGAGCCGGAAGAGGAAGUGUCGGUGGUUGUUCCCCAAAAGCCUGUGGCAGUGCCCAAGAAGCCU